UGCAUAAAUCCAAGCAAAAGCAAAGAUGUUCUUCACAAUUUGAUUAUGAGUUGAGAGUUGUCCUUAAAAUGUAUGCACUCAUAAUCCCUUCGCUUAGCCACAACUCAACCCAGCUAAACCUUAAUACCAAACUAGCUGGGGUCAGCUAGGAAAAAUAAUUUUGCUUGUCUUAUAUCUUUGAAUCUCUCAUUCAGUGAAAAGCUGAACUUUGUUUUAAAGAUGUUUGGGCCUUGGAGCAGGGAACACUUUUGCAUUGGUUGUCUCUUGCUCAUGACCCAAGCACAUUUAGGAGAGGACCUAUUUCCAAUUAUUGUAAGGUGUGGCCAGCAGGCCAGAACCGCCAGUUCUGGUCCCUGGAACCGAGGGCCUGAGACCAGACAGUAGGGUCCCUUGGUCCCGGUUCCAUUUUGGUUCAAUCCAGUCUGAACCAAUCCAACAGUUGUAAUAUUUUUUUCAAUUUUUUCAAAUAAUAAAUUCCUAGUUCCAGU